rnacentral:rRNA from 1 species
GACGAACGCUGGCGGCGUGCUUAACACAUGCAAGUCGAGCGGUAAGGCCCUUUCGGGGGUACACGAGCGGCGAACGGGUGAGUAACACGUGGGUGACCUGCCCUCAGCUCUGGGAUAAGCCCGGGAAACUGGGUCUAAUACUGGAUAUGACUCCAUGACGCAUGUUGUGGGGUGGAAAGCCUUGUGCGGCUGAGGAUGGGCCCGCGGCCUAUCAGCUUGUUGGUGGGGGAUGGCCUACCAAGGCGACGACGGGUAGCCGGCCUGAGAGGGCGACCGGCCACACUGGGACUGAGACACGGCCCAGACUCCUACGGGAGGCAGCAGUGGGGAAUCUUGCGCAAUGGGCGAAAGCCUGACGCAGCGACGCCGCGUGAGGGAUGACGGCCU